rnacentral:rRNA from 13 species
CAGAACGAACGCUGGCGGCAGGCUUAACACAUGCAAGUCGAGCGCCCUGCUUGCAGGGAGCGGCAGACGGGUGAGUAACGCGUGGGAACAUACCUUUCGGUUCGGAAUAGCCCCGGGAAACUGGGUGUAAUACCGAAUACGUCCUUAGGGAGAAAGAUUUAUCGCCGAAAGAUUGGCCCGCGUUAGAUUAGAUAGUUGGUGAGGUAACGGCUCACCAAGUCGACGAUCUAUAGCUGGUUUGAGAGGAUGAUCAGCCACACUGGGACUGAGACACGGCCCAGACUCCUACGGGAGGCAGCAGUGGGGAAUAUUGGACAAUGGGGGCAACCCUGAUCCAGCCAUGCCGCGUGAGUGAAGAAGGCCUUCGGGUUGUAAAGCUCUUUCAGAUGCGAAGAUGAUGACGGUAACAUCAGAAGAAGCCCCGGCUAAUUUCGUGCCAGCAGCCGCGGUAAUAC